GCGUUGGUGGUUUAGUGGUAAAAUUCAUCGUUGCCAUGUAACCGGACACUUCUUGGGAAACACUGAGGAAAUCCGGCUUAUAGUUUCGAUGAGCCCCGGGUUCGAUUCCCGGCCGACGCA
rfam:Macrophomina phaseolina MS6 contig00288, whole genome shotgun sequence.